CCUACGGGCGACAGCAGUGAGGAAUAUUGGUCAAUGGACGAGAGUCUGAACCAGCCAAGUAGCGUGAAGGAUGACUGCCCUAUGGGUUGUAAACUUCUUUUAUAUGGGAAUAAAAUGUUCCACGUGUGGGAUUUUGUAUGUACCAUAUGAAUAAGGAUCGGCUAACUCCGUGCCAGCAGCCGCGGUAAUACGGAGGAUCCGAGCGUUAUCCGGAUUUAUUGGGUUUAAAGGGAGCGUAGGUGGAUUGUUAAGUCAGUUGUGAAAGUUUGCGGCUCAACCGUAAAAUUGCAGUUGAAACUGGCAGUCUUGAGUACAGUAGAGGUGGGCGGAAGUCGUGGUGUAGCGGUGAAAUGCUUAGAUAUCACGAAGAACUCCGAUUGCGAAGGCAGUUCACUGGACUGCAACUGACACUGAGGCUCGAAAGUGUGGGUAUCAAACAGGAUUAGAUACCCCUGUAGUC
rnacentral:rRNA from 1 species